UCAGGCUUGGUGAAAAAAAGUACUUUUGGUGAAAGAGUCCAGACAUGCACAACACAGAGACUGGAGAUCUCUCAGUCUGCCUCUCGGAUCAUCAGUUUCCAAAUCACCGGGAGGGCAAAAUGAAGGAAGAAGAAGACAAUAGCCACCUCAUCCUAUCACAGGGAGAUCAAGGAAGCCAUUUGACCCUGUCUUCAGAUGCAGGGUCUAAAACGUGGACUUUUGACAUUCUCUCUACAUGAGGUCAUCCUCAGAGUCACAGAGAAAACACUGGUAAGAAGAUGGGAAGAUGACAUUCCUCAUGCCCUUUUUUUUUUCUCCUCAAAAUAUUCCUGUGAUCUUUUAUUUACCCUCAUUUAUAAUACAGAUGACUAUAUUAAGUACAAA